GGCUGGCACAAAGGUAGUGAGUUAUCUCACCUGAUUAUUCACAGUCAAUUACAAAUUGAACUCCUUGUUCUACUACUUUCCCCCUUUUCAUUACCGCACUUGACAAGACUUUA
rnacentral:Y_RNA from 1 species